UGGCCCCAUUUGUUAAGGUUGGCUCUGCAUCUUGUAGUGCCAGAGUACAGUCUGUUCAGUGUCUUCCAAGUCAUCCAGUCUUCUGUGUGACCAGGAGGAAGUUUCUGACAGGGGAUGAUGGGUAGCAGAGUGGAUUCCAAAAAUCAUCAUUCUGGUCUCACCGCCCCUUCUUCCGCAGGCUGAAUUCUCUUGCGGAGAAACAGCACUGGCCAACAGAAUUCCAGCAGCUGGAGGUUCAGUUGUAAAUCCAACUGUUGUUAAACUUUAUUUACAUAUUUACAGUUACAUUUCCUGGCUUCGGAGCAUAGCAUUCAUUGUCCAUCUCCAGCGAAAUGCUCAAGCCGAACUCCACAGAUAAGAUAACACACACAUUCCUCUGUCCAGAGGAAGUUCCAACCCUCAAAGGCAGGAAAUCAAUCCUGAUAGGUCAUAACAAUCACAACAGGCUGUCAGUCAAAACUAGCCUGCUGUUAACUAUUUCAUUACUGAAAAUACACACUCUAGUUCAUCAGCAGUAAACACUUGAUUUACAUUUCAUACAAAUACAACCAUACUCCAACAGUUUCUCAUCUGGUUUCAGCUACGGAUUGAGGUUCCAGGUUUUAACCUGCCACUUUUGAACUCUCGCUUGCUGAGGCAUUCCUGCCAGUAUUUCUGUAGAUCUUAGGAAGCUAUUUUUUGAUUUAAGGCAUUGGCUUGCUGGCUGAUAUCCAAACAGAGAAUGGGCCAGAGAUGUCAAUGCUUUGGUCCUUUCAUUACAGGCUGCUACUUCCCAAUAAAUGUCAGUCAGGUGGUACAAUACCGGCUAACAGUAUAAUUUCUCCAGUGGUAUAGUGACUUGCAGCAUGCAACCAAACAAACUCAAAGUGGUGAAUAAUGCUAAAAACAAUACAAAGUACAAUUUAAAACCUAAAGCAUAUAUACACUAAAACAGAAUUAAACCUAGAAGCAUGAAAGUCUUGAGAUCUAUUAAUUCAUGGGUUUGAAAAACAAUAAAAACAACAAAACAUUUGUUGUUUCACGUUUACUGUUAGCUGCCUUUAAGUCCCUAUGUCAGGAGAAAGGCAGGAUAAAAAUAAAGAAAAUACAAUGAAUAAAUGAACCAUUUAUUAAUUUUUUUUAGUGCAGAGUUCAAAUGCUUCAAAGAUCUGUAAUAAUUGUUACACUCAGUCCUUGGUCUGACCUUCCUAAGCCUGUUGUUACCAAAGCAUUCUGUUGCCAUCAUUUCUUCAUUGCUCUCAUAUCUUUUUUUACAUUCCUAAAAUACAUGCAACACUUUUAAAGCCACCUCUCUGAAGCAUUCUUCCUGCUCAUGGUGUGCAUCCAAUCCUGAAAUCCACAUUUACAAUGCCUUCAGCUCGUAUUGCUUCCCUUUGUUCCACUUAGCUAGCAAGGAUUAUAACAAGAUACCAAUGUAAAGUGCAUAGUUACCAUUAUUAUUCAUGUAUAACAGUGAUUCAAUGUUUCUAGUUGUACACAGUGCGACAUGCACCCAGAACUCAAAACUGUGCCCAUGAAAAUCAUAAAAGGUUCAGUCAUUAUGGCACUGUGUUUCCAAUAAUCCACAGGGACUGUCCUUUUAGAGCGGAGGUGCCCAAUGCUGGUGCCCAAUGUUUUUGGAUCCAAGGGCCACUUGUCAGCUACUUGGUCAGAGUCAUUUUUGGCACAAUGUUCACUAGAUGGCAGUUGCUAUAUACAUGCAUCAUACCUUCCAACUGCCCCCAUUUGCCAGGGAGUCCCAAUUUAUCCCUUGCUGUCCUGUUUUUUAUAUGCUUUUAUAAUGUCCUACUUUUUCUUUCCUCUUUUCCCUUUACCCCUUUAUGCUCAGCCUUUUUCAAUGCUGAAGUACAAAAGUAGUUUGCACUCAACUCAUUUAGCAAGAGGAAAAGGGGAAGAAACAGGGAAUCUUUCCCUUUUGCUUAGGUCAGGCAAAAGCAAACUGCUGUAGCCUCUCCUAGCUUCUCUGCACUUACUACAGUAGAGUCUCACUUAUCCAACAUAAAAGGGCCGGUAGAACGUUGGAUAAGCAAAUAUGUUGGAUAAUAAGGAGAGAUUAAGAAAAAGCCUAUUAAACAUCAAAAUAGGUUAUGAUUUUACAAAUUAAGCACCAAAACAUCAUGUUAUACAACAAAUUUGACAGAAAAAAAUAGUUCAUUACACAUUAAUGCUAUGUAGUAAUUACUGUAUUUACGAAUUUAGCACCAAAAUAUCACAAUGCAUUGAAAACAUUGACUACAAAAAUGCGUUGGAUAAUCCAGAACGUUGGAUAAGUGAGACUCUACUGUAAUUCCUUUUCCCAUUUUGACCUUACUCUGAUGUGUCUUGGCCAUGCACACCCCAAUUUCCAUACAGGAGCCCCAGGUGGCACAGCAGAUUAAACUGCUCAGCUGCUGAACUUGCUGACCAAAAGGUCAGCGGUUGGAAUCCGGGGAGCCGUUUGAGCUCCUGCUGUUAGCCCCAGCUUCUGCCAACCUUGCAGUUCGAAAACAUGCAAAUGUGAGUAGAUCAAUAGAUGCCAUUUUGGCAGGAAGGUAAUGGCACUCCAUACAAUCAUGCCGGCCACAUGACCUUGGAGAUAUUUACGAACAAUGCCGGCUCUUCGGCUUAGAAAUGGAGAUGAGCACCAACCCCUGAGUCAGACACGACUAGAUUAACAUCAGGGGAAAGCCUUUACCUUUACCUAUGGUGCAUAUCUGCAAAUUAACAUAUUGUUUUCUUACCCCUGGACCAUUAGAGGUAAGCCAGUGAGAAUUAGAAAGCAGGACAGGGAGUACGGAGGGGAUGGCUGCCUAUACUCUGUUUCCCCAAAAAUAAGACAUCCCCUGAAAAUAAGACCUAUUAGAGGCUUUGCUGAAUUGCUAAAUAUCAGGCCUCUCACAAAAGUAAGACUUAGUAAAGUUUUUGUUUGGAAGCAUGCCCGCCAAACAGAACACCAGAGCAUGCAGGGUUGGUAAAUGUAUGUACCAUAGAUUGUUGUACAUGGAAAUAAUGGUAGUAACAAUAAAUUCUUGAUAGGAUUCACAGUUUAUCUGUUUAUGCUGGUUUGUGAUGACAACUACUGUAUAGUAAAUAAUCAAUGUUCAUUUUUUUAGUCAACAAUAAAUGUGAAUUCUUUUUCAUGGAAAAAUAAGACAUCUCCUGAAAAUAAGACCUAGUGCAUCUUUGGGAGCAAAAAUUAAUAUAAGACACUGUCUUAUUUUCGGGGAAACACGGUAAUUAGAUUCCAUAGGUUAUACACACUGUUGCUUUAGAAGAAAUUAAAAUAUUGAUUUAAACAAGCAUUCAGAUUAUAGUCUCUUUGUCAUACAGCAAUUACUGUGGAGGGAGUCCAAUUCUGCCAGCUCAGUUGCAUUGCCUAAAUCUUGACCUGACCUGGUAUAAUGUUGUUUAUGAUUUUGCUAUAUAUUUGCUAUUGUUAUUAUAAUUUUAUUGUCUUUUCAGUGUUUUAUAUUUUAUCUUUAGCUAAGAAACCACCAUGAGGAUUAUGAGCAAAAGCAGGAUAUGAAUGCCUAAAUCUGACAACAGUAAAUAAAAAUGCUCUUCUCAAUUGUGCUGACUCUUUUUCCUAUAUGUAUGCAAAUAAUACCUAUCCUCAUAAAAUUGAAACAGGCCCUGAGUCUAUGACACACACUUCAUUAAAACACACCUGAGUUCACUGGAUGUACCAUCUGGAGAAGCAUAUAGGCAGUUGAACAGUUCCUGCAGCCCACAGGCAGAAACUGUGUAUGAAACUCCACAGCUUCCUGUAACAAUCGCAACUGCCUGUUGCAUGUAAUCAACAUAAUUUCUACACAAAGGCAGCAAUAUUCAGCAUCCAGCACACUAAUCAAGACCAGUCUUCAAACAUAGUGUAAAAAAUGAGAUUACAGGGGAGAAACACUCAUGUAUGUAGUACGCAGCAUGGCUGUGUUACUCUUACUUUGCUCCUUAUUUCCGAGGCAACCCUGAGUGUGGUGGUGCAAUCAAGUUAAAUUGUUUUCUCUUCUUUUAAAGGGGAAUAAAUGGUGCCAUCUGGUGGCUAAAUGAUAUCACGAAGAGAAAGCAGACAGCAUCGCUGAUCUCAAUGGCUUGAGAUUAGACAACUUUCCAUCUUUUUGACAGAACUUACCUGGAAUAUUGGUGUCCAGUUCUGAGCACCACAGUUCAAGGGGGAUAUCAGCAUGCUGGAAAGUGCUUAGAGGGCAACCAAGAUAAUCAAAGGUCUGGAAGUCAAGCCUUAUAAGGAACAACUUUGAGAACUGGAAAGGAGAAGACUGAGGAGUGACAUGAAAGUAAUCUUUAAAUAUCUGAAGGAAUGUCUUGUAGAAGAUGGAAUGAGCUUGAUUUAUGCAAAUGAAUGGAUUCAAAUUACAAGAAAGGAGCUUCCACCUAAGCAUUUGGAAGAACUUCUUUUAAAAUAAAAGCUGUUGAACAGUGCAAUAGACUGCCUCAGAGUGUUUGGACUCUGCAUCCUUGGAGGUCAAGCAGUUUGGACAGGCGUUUUUCAUGAGUUGCUAUAAUUGUAUACUUCACAUACGAAGGAUGGGUGCUCUGUCAUUGAAGACUAUGGUCCGGAAAUACACAAUGCACCUCAUAUUGCAGAAGACUAUAUGAUGGAAGGACAGAAGGCUUUCUGUAAUAUUUCUGUUAUAUAUUUAUCCCUUUUGCAACCCACUAUGGAUUUGACAAGAGAGCUGGAAUUCUGAGGCCUCCCUGUGUUGUGAGUUCAUCCUGUGUGUACUGGAUAUAUUAAAUGAGCCACACUACUCCAGAGAAUUUAGGACAGAAAACAUGUAAGCUUCCAGAGGUUUUUGCACUGUGGCUCCAAUAAUUCCUCACCAUUGGUUAUGGUGGCUACAACUGAUGAAUGUUGCAAUACAACAUCUCAAGUGGCACAUAUUCCUCACAUACUGAUUCAGAAGAAUCUGGAAAAACAAACGACUCACAAUGAGGUGGUUUACAAAGAAAACAUGUCAUUAAAAUACAUGACAAUUAAAAUGCUAACAAAAAUAAAAUGCAGCAGAAAUCUUUCCUUUCUAGCAGAGUAAUUUAAGUUAUGAUACUGUGUAAAAUAAAAAAGGCAGCUUACACAAUGACUCCCCAUCAAUGCUUCUAUGAUGGGUAUAAACUCAAAAGUACUUCAUGUCCCUAAAUCCUUCCCCCUCACAAGGAUUUACUCCAGGAACACAUUUGCCCAACUACAGCAUGAGUUUCUACAGUUGAAGUCACAAAACAUUCAGAGGAAAAAGCCUAUUUCAAGAAACAGUUCUCGUUCAAAGCAGUAAUUUCCUAGAUCAUUAUUCUGAAUUUUAAAAGUUGUGCUUCUGCCCACAAUUGUGUAAAGACAUUUGAAAGCUUUAAUUCCAUUUUGCAAUUCUAAAUAGAUCCUGCUAAUUACUCAUGUCAUACACCCACUUCACAUUUUUUAAAAAUUUAUAAAGCAAUUCUGAUCCAUGAGGGAGGGAACUCCUUAGCAUUCAAGUUUAUUAACUCAUUGCCUGUUCCUCAUACUAAUGUGUUUUCCAUCAGUCACACGUCAGGAAACUAUUUGCAAACGAUUUAAUAUUCAUAAAGUAAUUCUGCAUUUUUGUUUAUCAGAUGCUUAUCACACAAUGCCCAAAAGCUUAGAUAUAACAUUUAUCAAACUCUCUCCAUUGUUGAAGACAGACUACCUUGUGUUCACACCAUUAAACAGCAGAAAGAGGCCAUGAUCAUGGGGAAAAACAUGUGGGAAAAGGAGUGUGAGGGCUGUGACACUAACAAUUUCAAUAAUUACAGAUUUGCUUGAUGUGUUAACUGAAGCCAUAGUAGCUGAAGUUUCUCGCUUCUCCGUUGCUGGGAGUCUAGACAGUUCUCAGUUUGGACUUAUUACAUGCAUUCUAUGAAAAGGCAUUCUCUGUCACAAGUAUAUAUCUUAAUGCCUUCUUCAGGAGAGUAGCCAGUUCAUAUUUAUAUAGAAAAACAUAUUCUAGCCUCUAGCCUCACUUCCCAUUACUAUUUGAUUUCAUGAUAUAGUAUUAUUAACAAGAUAUUAACAAGAUAUGAAAUAUACACUUCAUACAUAUAUGUGGGAUUUUCCAAUCCUUGAUCUGAAAGUGUCCAGAGACAUUUCUUACUUUGCCAUAUCCAAUUAUGACUUUGUACCACAUAUGUCUUGUAAGAAAUGUAACAGAAACGGGGAAACAGUCAUGACAAAGUAGCAAUGGCCCACUUGUGAUUGAGAUGACAUGAAACAAUAUUUGAACAAAAGUAAACAGACAUGCAACAUCUCAAGAAACCGAGCAAGUGUGGCAAUACAUUUAUUGGAUCCAUUGGUGUCUAGACAAGCCAGCUCUUGAUUUACUCAGAAAUCUUUAAAUGAAAUAAUUCAAAGAGAAGGAAAUCAAAUGGAAGAUGAUAGUUCUGGUUUGAUGUUUCCUUAGUACUUCCAAGCAUGCAGGCAAACAACAAUCUAUAUUACUUUUCUUACUUCAGUAUAGAGUAAUAAAACUGGCACUAAAAAUGUCCAUGGCACUUCUAUAAUUUAUGCUUUAGCUUCACAUUAUUACAGACACAUUUAAUAAUAUUUUUUCACAUGGAAACAGACAAAAUGAAUUGAACAAGUCAUAACAUACUCCUGCCAUAAAGUAUAGGAAUAUUCCCCCCUCAUUUUUGUCAAACUUUGAAGAGACAGCUUCAAAUGUGAACCCAGAAAUAAAUCAUUAAAAGAAACUCUGAUGUGAGUUCUUAUUUAUCGACAUAGUAACCAUGAGAAAAAUAGAACUUGAAAGUGCAACAUGGUUUGAAAAUGUGAUGUAAACUCUCUCUUCUGCAAGCAAGACACAUGGGAUCAAAAGAAUUGUAAGUAUUAGUAUAAAAUUCAAUAUUAUAUAGAAUUCAGCACCAUAAAUGAAAAGUGAGAUAGUCACGGGCUUGAGCUGCUUCCUGCACAAAGUAUGCCAAAAACAUGUUGUGUUCUGCAUUUCACAGUGUGGAUCCUGCACUGUGCAGGGUGCAUUCCAUUACUA